GAUGAACGCUGGCGGCGUGCUUAACACAUGCAAGUCGAACGAAGCACUUAAGUUUGAUUCUUCGGAUGAAGACUUUUGUGACUGAGUGGCGGACGGGUGAGUAACGCGUGGGUAACCUGCCUCAUACAGGGGGAUAACAGUUAGAAAUGACUGCUAAUACCGCAUAAGACCACAGCACCGCAUGGUGCAGGGGUAAAAACUCCGGUGGUAUGAGAUGGACCCGCGUCUGAUUAGCUGGUUGGUGGGGUAACGGCCUACCAAGGCGACGAUCAGUAGCCGACCUGAGAGGGUGACCGGCCACAUUGGGACUGAGACACGGCCCAA
rnacentral:rRNA from 1 species